rnacentral:lncRNA from 1 species
UAACUAUGAGGAGGCCUGGAAAUAAAAACCUAGGAUCUUGAUGGCUCCAUUGAUCCACUGAAUAAACACACUCGAGUACAUCUAUCUUAUGACUAGACGUAUAAAUGAGCCAAAAAACUUAGAACGCUUCAAGUUGGGCUUUCUGUUAUUUAUAAUAGAUAAAAUACCAAGUUCAGGCACAGUUACAUCUAGGUGCCCAUCAAUGACGUCACAGAGCUCCAGUUUCCUUCUGUGAGGGCUUCACUCUCAGCCUGGCUGCCCCCACAAUGAUCACCAGCAGCCUCAUUCCUGGCAGCACUCGCCAAAGCUCUGCACUCCUCCUCCCUGGGUUACCUUGGUUCAUGUGCCCAUCUCUGAACGCAGCCCUGAGGUCAGGGGGAUAGAAUGGUGAUGAUUCAGGGACAGAUGCUCUCUCCCGGGGCCAGUUAAAAUAUCAGAGCUUUAGAAGAAAAAAGUUUCCUGUUCAUGCCCCUUCUUCUCUGUUUGGUAUGUUGAUAUGAGGAUGUGAUGCCUGGAGCUGGAACAAAAAAUUUGCAACCAUGAGGUGGACAUGCAUGAAGACGAAGAAUUAGCAUGAGCACUGAGGAGCAGGAGGGACAAUCAAAGCCUGGGGCCAUGAUGGUUUGCACAAUCCUUGGCCUUCUGUGUUGAACCUAGACUUAUU